rnacentral:rRNA from 1 species
GAUGAACGCUGGCGGCGUGCCUAAUACAUGCAAGUCGAGCGAACAGACGAGGAGCUUGCUCCUCUGACGUUAGCGGCGGACGGGUGAGUAACACGUGGAUAACCUACCUAUAAGACUGGGAUAACUUCGGGAAACCGGAGCUAAUACCGGAUAAUAUAUUGAACCGCAUGGUUCAAUAGUGAAAGACGGUUUUGCUGUCACUUAUAGAUGGAUCCGCGCCGCAUUAGCUAGUUGGUAAGGUAACGGCUUACCAAGGCAACGAUGCGUAGCCGACCCGAGAGGGUGAUCGGCCACACUGGAACUGAGACACGGUCCAGACUCCUACGGGAGGCAGCAGUAGGGAAUCUUCCGCAAUGGGCGAAAGCCUGACGGAGCAACGCCGCGUGAGUGAUGAAGGUCUUCGGAUCGUAAAACUCUGUUAUUAGGGAAGAACAAAUGUGUAAGUAACUAUGCACGUCUUGACGGUACCUAAGCAGAAAGCCACGGCUAACUACGU